rnacentral:rRNA from 1 species
UACGUAGGGGGCAAGCGUUGUCCGGAUUUAUUGGGCGUAAAGAGCGUGUAGGCGGCCUGAUAGGUCUGCUGUGAAAACUCGAGGCUCAACCUCGAGACGUCGGUUGAAACCAUCUGGCUAGAGUCCGGAAGAGGAGAGUGGAAUUCCCGGUGUAGCGGUGAAAUGCGCAGAUAUCGGGAAGAACACCCGUGGCGAAGGCGGCUCUCUGGGACGGUACUGACGCUGAGACGCGAAAGCGUGGGGAGCGAACAGG